AGGACGAACGCUGGCGGCGUGCUUAACACAUGCAAGUCGAGCGAGAUCUUUCGGGGUCUAGCGGCGAACGGGUGAGUAACACGUGAGCAACCUGCCCUUGGCUCUGGGAUAGCCUCCGGAAACGGGGAUUAAUACCGGACAUGACCUUUUCCUGCAUGGGGGAGGGUGGAAAGUUUUUCGGCCAGGGAGGGGCUCGCGGCCUAUCAGCUUGUUGGGGGGGUAACGGCCCACCAAGGCGACGACGGGUAGCC
rnacentral:rRNA from 1 species